rnacentral:rRNA from 1 species
GAUGAACGCUGGCGGCGUGCCUAAUACAUGCAAGUCGAACGCUUCACUUCGGUGAAGAGUGGCGAACGGGUGAGUAAUACAUAAGUAACCUGGCAUCUACAGGGGGAUAACUGAUGGAAACGUCAGCUAAGACCGCAUAGGUGUAGAGAUCGCAUGAACUCUAUAUGAAAAGUGCUACGGGACUGGUAGAUGAUGGACUUAUGGCGCAUUAGCUUGUUGGUAGGGUAACGGCCUACCAAGGCGACGAUGCGUAGCCGACCUGAGAGGGUGACCGGCCACACUGGGACUGAGACACGGCCCAGACUCCUACGGGAGGCAGCAGUAGGGAAUUUUCGGCAAUGGGGGAAACCCUGACCGAGCAACGCCGCGUGAAGGAAGAAGUAAUUCGUUAUGUAAACUUCUGUCAUAGAGGAAGAACGGUGGAUAUAGGGAAUGAUAUCCAAGUGACCGUACUCUAUAAGAAAGCCACGGCUAACUACGUGCCAGCAGCCGCGGUAAUACCUAAGUGGCGAGCGUUAUCCCGAAUUAUUGGGCGUAAAGAGGGAGCAGGCGGCACUAAGGGUCUGUGGUGAAAGAUCGAAGCUUAACUUCGGUAAGCCAUGGAAACCGUAGAGCUAGAGUGUGUGAGAGGAUCGUGGAAUUCCAUGUGUAGCGGUGAAAUGCGUAGAUAUAUGGAGGAACACCAGUGGCGAAGGCGACGAUCUGGCGCAUAACUGACGCUCAGUCCCGAAAGCGUGGGGAGCAAAUAGGAUUAGAUACCCUAGUAGUCCACGCCGUAAACGAUGAGUACUAAGUGUUGGGGGUCAAACCUCAGUGCUGCAGUUAACGCAAUAAGUACUCCGCCUGAGUAGUACGUUCGCAAGAAUGAAACUCAAAGGAAUUGACGGGGGCCCGCACAAGCGGUGGAGCAUGUGGUUUAAUUCGAAGCAACGCGAAGAACCUUACCAGGUCUUGACAUCGAUCUAAAGGCUCCAGAGAUGGAGAGAUAGCUAUAGAGAAGACAGGUGGUGCAUGGUUGUCGUCAGCUCGUGUCGUGAGAUGUUGGGUUAAGUCCCGCAACGAGCGCAACCCCUGUUGCCAGUUGCCAGCAUUAAGUUGGGGACUCUGGCGAGACUGCCGGUGACAAGCCGGAGGAAGGCGGGGAUGACGUCAAAUCAUCAUGCCCCUUAUGACCUGGGCUACACACGUGCUACAAUGGACAGAGCAGAGGGAAGCGAAGCCGCGAGGUGGAGCGAAACCCAUAAAACUGUUCUCAGUUCGGACUGCAGUCUGCAACUCGACUGCACGAAGAUGGAAUCGCUAGUAAUCGCGAAUCAGCAUGUCGCGGUGAAUACGUUCUCGGGCCU